GACGAACGCUGGCGGCGUGCUUAACACAUGCAAGUCGAGCGAUGAAGCUUCCUUCGGGAAGUGGAUUAGCGGCGGACGGGUGAGUAACACGUGGGUAACCUGCCUCGAAGUGGGGAUAGCCUUCCGAAAGGAAGAUUGAUAACGCAUAACAUACGAGAAUCGCACGAUUUUGUUAUCAAAGAUUUAUUGCUUUGCGAUGGACCCGCGGCGCAUUAGCUAGUUGGUAAGGUAACGGCUUACCAAGGCAACGAUGCGUAGCCGACCUGAGAGGGUGAUCGGCCACAUUGGAACUGAGACACGGUCCAGACUCCUACGGGAGGCAGCAGUGGGGAAUAUUGCGCAAGGGGGGAAACCCUGACGCAGCAACGCCGCGUGGGUGAUGAAGGUCUUCGGAUUGUAAAGCCCUGUUUUCUAGGACGAUAAUGACGGUACUAGAGGAGGAAGCCACGGCUAACUACGUGCCAGCCGCCGCAGUAACAC
rnacentral:rRNA from 1 species